rnacentral:lncRNA from 1 species
UACAGAUGUGAGCAGGACCAUUCCUGGCCUCCCGGCUCUGAGGAGGCGAAGCGCAGGCCCACAGCUGUGCGGCAGGAGCCACCCUCACAGCAGAGCCGGUGUAGACGCUUGAACGGCUCCUGCAGACACUCCCCUCUCCCCCUCUUAAAAAAACAAAUGCCCUGGCCUCCAUAGCCCCCAACAUACCUGCUUGUGCCCUCCUCUCUCCACUGGUAUCACAAACAGAAACAUCAAUCUGCCUUUGUUUUGCCAGAGGGGCAAGGCUGUGGAACCCCAGAAGACAGGCCUCUGAGAGGACCCGGGUCACCCGGACCUGGACUCAAAUCCCAUCCCUGUACCUCUCCUUGGAUGAACCAUCGAACACUGAGCUUCCAUUUUGCAUCUUCCAACUGCACAGAGAAGCAAGCGGAGGCCUGAUGUGGAACUAAUGGGGCUCUGCGUCAUGGGCAACUAAACCUGGAGGGGGCACCGUGCCCGGUUCUCCCAGAGAAGAGAAGAAGGACUGGGCAGACAGCUCUCCAUCUCUCUGUGGAGGCCUCCCCUCCCACUUCCUUCCCCAACACCCCACCUCCACCUGCUGCUUCCAACCCCCAGCCCUGUUGGUUCUAGAAAGUUUGGUUGUUAUCCAGCAGGAGGAUGAGGACUGGUUUA